rnacentral:lncRNA from 1 species
GGCUUGUCUGCGGAUGGGCUGAGAUCAUUAAGUGAAAAAUGCCAUCUGAAUAAAAGUUAAUAUCAACUUUUGCCAUUCACAUUUACUUUAAACAGCCUUUACAAACAGGAACUAAUGCUGAUUAAUACUCAUGUAUUAAGGCAUUUGAAAAAUAUCAUAAUGGCUGAAAAUAUGGUAGAAAAGAGGUCUUCUAUUUGAAUUUUAACUUCCCAGUGCUUUCUGAAUGGGUGAGAGCUUCAGCUGCAAUCCAUGUAUUAUCACCACUAUGUUACUACUAUACAAUAUCUGAAUCAUGCACACAGUAUGAAGAUGUGAUGAUUAAGGCGAACUAAGUAUCUGAAUCAAAAUUUUUGCAAGUGGAUGCUAUUUGCAUACAUUAUUGGGAAAAUAUUCUAAGAGGUAAAGGACAUUAAUAAGAAUGAUUCUUGCUUUUAGUCCAUCUGUUGAUAUUUUGGCAUGUGUAGACUACUCAAAAGGAAGAAAGUCUUCAUAGGGAAGAUAUUUUUAAUAUUAAUUUGUAGGCCAAAGACAGAGGUAAGAUAAAAUUUGUUGUAACCCAGUAUGUCAGGCAAUUUUAAUAAUAUCAUGCUCUUAAUACAAAUGAUAUUGUUUUAAUCUCUCUUGACAUGUCACUUUUUUAAGAAGAAGAGGUAGUACUUCUGUUUAUUUCCUGUUUCCACAUUAUGAAGUGUCCUUUGUGUAUUUGACAGAACAAGUAUCAUUCUCUCCCUUAGUUUCGCAACUGUGAAAAUCUGGUGUUACAGAAACUGUAAAGCUAUGGGAAUUGUCUAGAAAGUGAAAGGAGCCUUGCAAAUCACUGGAGAGAUCCUCAUCUUGGAAAAUAUAGUCAGAACUGCAGCAGCACUUCAAGAACACUGGCUGCGUUCACAAUAUUGAAUGAAAUUGGACUAUGUUUAUAAAUGGAAGUGCACGAGAAAUACAGUCUAAACCUGGCAACGCUCUACCUGCUGAGUACAACCCUCCAGGUAUACAGAAGAUAGAAGGGUAAGUCCUCAGCAGGUCUUUUUUAUUGCUUGUUUUUGUAGCAGCAAAACCCAAAACUUUUGUGCAUCCACGUAUUCUGUAAGUCCAAACUGAAAUUAAUCAAACUGGUUUUGGAAGAUAAGUAAAUCUGUGGUUUCCUGACCAGCUGGAUUUCAUCAGAUUUGGAGAGAAGUAGUAGUAUGUAUCCAGCAUUCUUUUUGCUAUGGCUUCUGGGACUGUAGUAAAAUAGAAUUUGAGUG